rnacentral:sRNA from 1 species
GCCGGGCAUGGUGGCGCAUGCCUGUAGUCCCAGCUACUCGGGAGGCUGAGGUAGGAGAAUCGCUUGAACCCAGGAGGUGGAGGUUGUGGUGAGCCAAGAUCGCGCCACUGCACUCCAGCCUGGGCAACAGAGCGAGACUCUGUCUCAA